CCUACGGGCGGCAGCAGUAGGGAAUUUUCCACAAUGGGCGAAAGCCUGAUGGAGCAACGCCGCGUGGGUGAAGAAGGUCUUCGGAUCGUAAAACCCUGUUGUUAGAGAAGAAAGUGCGUGAGAGUAACUGUUCACGUUUCGACGGUAUCUAACCAGAAAGCCACGGCUAACUACGUGCCAGCAGCCGCGGUAAUACGUAGGGGGCAAGCGUUAUCCGGAUUUAUUUGGCGUAAAGGGAACGCAGGCGGUCUUUUAAGUCUGAUGUGAAAGCCUUCGGCUUAACCGGAGUAGUGCAUUGGAAACUGGGAGACUUGAGUGCAGAAGAGGAGAGUGGAACUCCAUGUGUAGCGGUGAAAUGCGUAGAUAUAUGGAAGAACACCAGUGGCGAAAGCGGCUCUCUGGUCUGUAACUGACGCUGAGGCACGAAAGCGUGGGUAUCGAACAGGAUUAGAUACCCGUGUAGUC
rnacentral:rRNA from 1 species